rnacentral:rRNA from 1 species
UACAGAGGGUGCAAGCGUUGUUCGGAAUUAUUGGGCGUAAAGGGCGCGUAGGCGGUGCGGUAAGUCUUUUGUGAAAUCUCCGGGCUCAACUCGGAGUCUGCAGGAGAAACUGCCGUGCUUGAGUAUGGGAGAGGUGAGUGGAAUUCCUGGUGUAGCGGUGAAAUGCGUAGAUAUCAGGAGGAACACCUGUGGCGAAAGCGGCUCACUGGACCAUUGACUGACGCUGAUGCGCGAAAGCUAGGGGAGCAAACAGG